GGUGUUUUCCUUCAGCUACAACUGGAAGAAGAACAGUCCGGGGAGCAGUGACUCUGCCUUGACCUUGAUGACUCAACAGCCACAUAACAAAGGGUCCCCAGGAAUCAGGGGGCAGACAAGAGCCUUUUAUAGUUGGAAUCAAAAUCGUCCACAGGCCAGAGAUAGCUCAGCAGUUAAGAACACUGGCUGCCAUUUGAUUCCCAGUACCAACAUGGUGGUUCACAGCCAUCUUGUAACUCCUGUCCAAAGGAAUCCAAAACCCUCUCUUGGGCUCCAUGGACUACCAGGCAUGCAUACGGUGGUGCCUUACAUGCAAACCAAACACCCAUAUACAUAAAAUAAAUUCAUGUUUUAAACUUU
rnacentral:lncRNA from 1 species